UACAGAGGGGGCAAGCGUUGUCCGGAUUUACUGGGCGUACAGCGCGCGCAGGCGGUUGCGUAUGUGAGCGGUGACAUCCGCGGGCUCAACCCGCGGCGGCCCGCUUACACAGCGCGACUGGAGGCAGGGAGAGGGAUGUGGAAUACCCGGUGGAGCGGUGAAAUGCGUGGAGAUCGGGUGGAACACCAGCGGCGAAGGCGGCAUCCUGGCCCUGUACUGACGCUGAGGCGCGAUAGCGUGGGGAGCAAACGGG
rnacentral:rRNA from 1 species